rnacentral:rRNA from 1 species
GACGAACGCUGGCGGCGUGCUUAACACAUGCAAGUCGAACGGAAAGGCCCUGCUUGCAGGGUACUCGAGUGGCGAACGGGUGAGUAACACGUGGGUGAUCUGCCCUGCACUUCGGGAUAAGCUUGGGAAACUGGGUCUAAUACCGGAUAGGACCGCACUUUAGUGUGUGUGGUGGAAAGUUUUUUCGGUGUAGGAUGAGCUCGCGGCCUACCAGCUUGUUGGUGGGGUAAUGGCCUACCAAGGCGGCGACGGGUAGCCGGCCUGAGAGGGUGUACGGCCACAUUGGGACUGAGGUACGGCCCAGACUCCUACGGGGGGCAGCAGUGGGGAAUAUUGCACAAUGGGCGCAAGCCUGAUGCAGCGACGCCGCGUGGGGGAUGAAGGCCUUCGGGUUGUAAACUCCUUUCGCUAGGGACGAAGCUUUUUGUGACGGUACCUAGAUAAGAAGCACCGGCUAACUACGUG